UGCAAGUCGAACGGAAAGGCCCUUCGGGGUACUCGAGUGGCGAACGGGUGAGUAACACGUGGGUGAUCUGCCCUGCACUUUGGGAUAAGCCUGGGAAACUGGGUCUAAUACCGAAUACACCUCAUUGACUGCAUGGUUGGUGGGGGAAAGCUUUUGCGGUGUGGGAUGGGCCCGCGGCCUAUCAGCUUGUUGGUGAGGUUACGGCUCACCAAGGCGACGACGGGUAGCCGGCCUGAGAGGGUGACCGGCCACACUGGGACUGAGAUACGGCCCAGACUCCUACGGGAGGCAGCAGUGGGGAAUAUUGCACAAUGGGCGCAAGCCUGAUGCAGCGACGCCGCGUGGGGGAUGACGGCCUUCGGGUUGUAAACUCCUUUCAGCACAGACGAAGCGCAAGUGACGGUAUGUGCAGAAGAAGGACCGGCCAACUACGUGCCAGCAGCCGCGGUAAUACGUAGGGUCCGAGCGUUGUCCGGAAUUACUGGGCGUAAAGAGCUCGUAGGUGGUUUGUCGCGUUGUUCGUGAAAACUCACAGCUUAACUGUGGGCGUGCGGGCGAUACGGGCAGACUUGAGUACUGCAGGGGAGACUGGAAUUCCUGGUGUAGCGGUGGAAUGCGCAGAUAUCAGGAGGAACACCGGUGGCGAAGGCGGGUCUCUGGGCAGUAACUGACGCUGAGGAGCGAAAGCGUGGGGAGCGAACAGGAUUAGAUACCCUGGUAGUCCACGCCGUAAACGGUGGGUACUAGGUGUGGGUUUCCUUCCUUGGGAUCCGUGCCGUAGCUAACGCAUUAAGUACCCCGCCUGGGGAGUACGGCCGCAAGGCUAAAACUCAAAGAAAUUGACGGGGGCCCGCACAAGCGGCGGAGCAUGUGGAUUAAUUCGAUGCAACGCGAAGAACCUUACCUGGGUUUGACAUGCACAGGACGCCGGCAGA
rnacentral:rRNA from 1 species